rnacentral:rRNA from 2 species
GAUGAACGCUGGCGGCGUGCCUAAUACAUGCAAGUCGAGCGAACAGACGAGGAGCUUGCUCCUCUGACGUUAGCGGCGGACGGGUGAGUAACACGUGGAUAACCUACCUAUAAGACUGGGAUAACUUCGGGAAACCGGAGCUAAUACCGGAUAAUAUAUUGAACCGCAUGGUUCAAUAGUGAAAGACGGUUUUGCUGUCACUUAUAGAUGGAUCCGCGCCGCAUUAGCUAGUUGGUAAGGUAACGGCUUACCAAGGCAACGAUGCGUAGCCGACCUGAGAGGGUGAUCGGCCACACUGGAACUGAGACACGGUCCAGACUCCUACGGGAGGCAGCAGUAGGGAAUCUUCCGCAAUGGGCGAAAGCCUGACGGAGCAACGCCGCGUGAGUGAUGAAGGUCUUCGGAUCGUAAAACUCUGUUAUUAGGGAAGAACAAAUGUGUAAGUAACUAUGCACGUCUUGACGGUACCUAAUCAGAAAGCCACGGCUAACUACGUGCCAGCAGCCGCGGUAAUACGUAGGUGGCAAGCGUUAUCCGGAAUUAUUGGGCGUAAAGCGCGCGUAGGCGGUUUUUUAAGUCUGAUGUGAAAGCCCACGGCUCAACCGUGGAGGGUCAUUGGAAA